UUGGAGGGCAAGUCUGGUGCCAGCAGCCGCGGAAAUUCCAGCUCCAAUAGCGUAUAUUAAAGUUGUUGCAGUUAAAAAGCUCGUAGUUGAAUUUCGGGAUUAGUACGUUGGUCGUGCCUUCGGUACGUACUGGUGUAACUGAUUCCUACCUUCUGACGAACCAUCAUGUCAUUAAUUUGGUGUGGCGGGGAAUCAGGACUGUUACUUUGAAAAAAUUAGAGUGUUUAAAGCAGGCUCGCGCUUGAAUACAUUAGCAUGGAAUAAUGAAAUAGGACGUUGAUCCUAUUUUGUUGGUUUCUAGGAUUGACGUAAUGAUUAAUAGGGAUAGUUGGGGGCAUUAGUAUUCAAUUGUCAGAGGUGAAAUUCUUGGAUUUAUUGAAGACUAACUACUGCGAAAGCAUUUGCCAAGGAUGUUUUCAUUAAUCAAGAACGAAAGUUAGGGGAUCGAAGACGAUCAGAUACCGUCGUAGUCUUAACCAUAAACUAUGCCGACUAGGGAUCGGAUGAUGCUAUUUUUAAUGACUCAUUCGGCGCCUUACGGGAAAC
rnacentral:rRNA from 1 species